CCUUGUGAUCCACCCACCUCGGCCUCCCAAAGUGCUGGGAUUACAGGCCUGAGCCACUGCGCCCGGCCUUCCCUCACCUAUUCUUAUAACCAACAAGAAAUAAGCCUUAAACAGUCUUCCUGAUAUGUAAUAUUAUUCUGGAGAGCGCUAUCCCUUAAGCCAGGAAUUACAGGACUGAUGUUUCAUGAUCAAGUAUCCCUUUUUACCAAGUCCCUUUCCAACUCCUAAUCUCCAAAACUUCCUGUAGCCUCAAGAGAAUGUGGAAUAAAUAGAUCUGAUUAUUAUAAAACUGCACAAUUGCAUGAUUUAAAGUAAUUUUAUUUUACUGAAUUUCAUGUUUAUAAAUUUUAAAGAAUUUCUUUAAAACAAAAUCAGAAAUGGUUCAUUUUACAGAUGCUGACUUCUCAAACUUAAGAGAGUCAUAGAUUUGAGUACAUACUGCACUAGUGAUGAUAAUGAUGAUACAGACAUAAAUUUAUGCAGAACUUUCAUAUUUCCAAAACAUAUCACACAUUUGCUUGCUUUAAAUUCACAACAGCCUGCAAAUAUUAUUCCCAUUUUACAUAUAUGGAGACUGGGGAUGAGAAAGUUAAAGGAACUCUUUACAAAUUAUGGAGGUGGUACUGUAUCUCCCAGCACCUUGUUCUUCUGCUGCUUUUCCUCCACCUGCUACAUCUGUCAUAGCAGGCACUUAUAGGAAAGGGGGGCACCUACCUCCAUGACAGAAGCUGGGGAGGGGUAGUCAGAGACAUCCCUGAGUUGAAUAAAUAAGUGAAUACAUGAAUAUAUGACUAACUGAAUGGAUGCAUGAAUGGAUGGGUGGACGAUAGAUAAAUUGAUGAGUGGAUUGAUGGGCAGAUUAAUGGAUCUAUGGGUGGGUGGAUGAUGAAUGGGUGAAUCUCUUUUGUUUGGAUGAAUGGGUAGAUGGAUGGAUGGGAUUCCUGUGGUCUCAGAGAAAAGGCAGUGGUGUUCUCUCAGUGUCUAGAAAGUGUGUACAGACACUUAUAAUACUCUACCAGCCAGAAUUCCUUAUGCUUAGCCAUAUCUUAACCCUGCCUGCCCAGGUAUUUCAAUCAUCCUUCAUCCUCAAGAAAAUAGAAUAUCUUUCAGCCAUAAGGUUGUCUAUUUCUACUCUCCAACUUACUAGCCAUGUUUACUGUACCUCUCCCUGCCUCAGUUUAUUCACCCGUAAAAUGGAGAUGAAAAUAACAUCUCAUUCAUAGAGUUGGAAUACAUAAUAUAUAGAUAGAUCAUUUAGUAAAGUACCUAACAUAUCAUAAAUUCUCGAUAAAUAAUAACUAUCACCCUUAAUAUUCCCUAAAGUUCAGAAUGGUUGCCUGUGAAAAUCAAAGUGAGUCCCCACUCACUAAGCAUGCCAUAUGGUCAUUAUGGUCUUUAGCCCUUUUUCAUUAGUGGUGGAAUCUGCAAUCAUACAAUAACCUUUAUUUUAUUACACAGCCCUUGGAAAUUGAGGGUUUCAUCUGUGUCAAUUAAUUCCUUCGCAGCCCACAUUGGCAGUGACAAUCAGAAUGUCAAAAUGUCUCAGAGGAUUUCUAGGAAAUCUGUGGCACUUCACGAAGAGGCUGCCCCGGGUGAGAGACCAGCCAGAGUGAAUCGUUAAUACACUUCCCAGGAAGGGGGAUUCUUCUGAAAUGCUAAUACAAUCAACUGCAAGGCAAACUUCAAGCUUCUUUUUCAGUGAUCAGAGAGGCCCUCCCAGAGCAAGGAUGCUCUCCACUGUGCAAGCUAAAGGCCCUACUUUCUCACCCAGCCUUUUCUGGGGAGGAGAAACACAUCCUCACCACAUUGCAGCUGCCCUGCGAGGGCUGCAGGUAUUGUGUGUCCCCACCAGCCAGGGCAGUUCCCAGACAGACUCUGGCUGCCUGGACCCAGGUCUGCUCCAAGGAAGCAGCACGUUUCUGGAGGAGGCUUAGCCAAGAAACCAUUACGGAGUGAGAGAGGAGUUAUCUGGAUAAAUGCGGAACUGCCCAACUCCUAGCAUUUGUUCCUGGGACCCAGGCUGUAACAUCCUCUGGAGCCAAACUGCCUCUGUUCAAACCCUUGUCCCCGCACUCCACCUCCUAGCUGUGUGGCACUGUGUGCAUUACUUAACUUUGCAUGCCUUACUUUUUCCAUUUGUAAAAUGCAUAUAAUAAUAAAUCCUACCUCCUAGGGUUGUGUGAGGAUUUAAUGAUUUAAUAAAUAAAAAACACUUAGAACAAUUCCUGGCACAUGGAAAGCAUGUAUAAAAUGUUAAGUAUUAUUAUUCAUUCUUUCAUACAUUCCCUCAUUCAUGCAUUUAUUAGUCUUUCCACUCAUCCACUGAUUCCUGCACUCAUGCAUGCAUACAUCCAACAUUCCUAUCUGAACCCUUAUUAACGAAUGAGGUCAUGUUAAAAGUGAAUAAUAAAUAUCAAGUUUAGGUUUGAGAGACAAAGAGCUACCAAGAGUAGCCUGGGAAAGGUGUCCUAAACCUCUGCUUUGUGCAGGCACCAUGCUUAAAACCUCCAACCGCAUGCAUUUGCUCAUGUGGUUUUGUCUCCUCAGAUGCUUCUCUCCCCCUUCUUCUGCCCCUCUAAACCCAGAAAACCCUUACUUAUCCUCCAAGGCCCAGUUCAAGGGUUAUCUCCUGGGUGAAACUUUUCCAGCUUCCGGGCAUAACUAUUCCCCAUCUCCUUAAUGAGUAAACGACUGAUAGAAUGAAUAAAGGCUCCCACAGCUCUGUGUUCAUGUUGAUGUUACAGCCUGUAUCACCUUGGAUUAUAAUUAAUUGCUCAUGCUUCUCCUGCCUGGAACACUCCCCCUUAAGCAGCCUGCUUCUAUUUAUCCUUCAAGCCUUAGUUUAGACGUCACUUCUUCCAGGAAGCCUUCUUUGACUUGCCAAAUAUAGUCUUGGGGCCUCUCCUGCAAGUCCCAACAGCCCCUGUUCCUCCCCCAUCACCACCCUGGCCAUACUGUAAGGUCAUUCCUGCCUUGCCUGACUGAGGCCUCUGUGGGACUCCAUCCUCUGUGAGACCAGGGGUCAGGUUGGUCUUGCUUACCACGACAUUCCCAGCACCCAGUCAUGUCAUGUACAGUGUCUACAAUAUGAUUGGCACCUCCAGAAGGUUGUGCAGCAUGCAACUCUGUAUGGCAGCCCUGCCCUGGAAAGGUGCCUGACACCGAAUAACCAGACAAUAAGUAUCUGGUGAAUUUAUAGAUGGUGGCUAAGCUUGGAAACCCCCAGGUUCCUGUGUCAGGUGUCACUCUCAUUGCCCCUCCAGGACCCUCUGGGAGGAGCAAAAGUGUUGCAGGUUCUCCCCCUCCUCCUCCUUCAGGAGCUAUUCUGUGUUUGGAAAGCUCUCAGCACCUUAAGGUAAGUGGGGUGUCAAUAACAGAUGGCAUGGAAUAGGGUGGUGUAAAGGGAGGCCAGUGUCCUGAGCCUGAAAAUAAGGAAGCCACUACUCUCACCCAAAUAACAGAAAACUGAGUGCUUCCAGCAGAUCACAUAGGCUCCGCCCCUGGCCCCCCUCCAGCUCUGACAGAAGACACCUGAAGCUCCUCCUUCUCAAAACAUUUAGGUGUUCCAGCACUGAACCCUCAGAAGGCAGAAAAGAGAAGUGGUUAAGACAGAGCAAGCCACAUUUCUAAUUCCAGCCUCACCUCGUUGUUAGCUGUGUGGCUUUAGGCAGAUUGCCCAGCCUUUCUGAGCUUCAUUCCCUCAUCUGUUUACGGAUAAUACUUCACAGGGGAGGUAUGAAGAUUAAAUAAAACAACACAUAUAAUAUACCUGGCCCAGAGUAAAUAUUCCAGGAAUAUUUGCUAUUAUUAUUAUUAUUUAACAUUUUUUCAGAUUCAGAUGGAAGCUCAGAACAGAUGUAUAAUAUGGCUUUGAUCCAUCCACGCCUCAAUCUAUCUCCUUAUUGAGGCCCAGAGGAAAAGUGGGAUUUGUCAGAACCACAUCUGGCAUAGACACAGAACCUUCCAAAAUGAUGUUCUUCCUGCUGCAUUAUCAGUAAAAUGUCACUGUUGAGUGAGAACUUACUUCAUUUCUUCCCUUGGCAUCUGAAGGCUACAUACAUGGUGUAGGACGAGCCUGGACUCUGGAUUGAAAUUCUGCAUAUGUUUGGCACUUUCCAGCUGUGUGACUUUGGGUGAGUUGCUUAGCCUCUCUGAGCGUCACAGUCCUCAUCUAUAAGAUGAGAAGAAGAAUAAAAUAGUUCCUCCCUUAAAGUGAAGAAUCGGUAAGAUGAUCAGGAAAUAUAAGGACCUCACUUAGUACACUAAGUAACUGGCUUAGAGUAACAGACUAAUAAUUGUUCACUACUAUUAUUUUAUUAGCAAGUCUUAGGGUAUAAGGCUGUUGGGGAAUAGAGAAAUUUAAAUUAUGUCCUUGACUGAGGCUUUUAUUCUUCCUGGAAGUCCAGGCUUUGGUGCUCCCAAUAUGGGAACAGCCCCAUUCCCAUCUCAGGACUGAGGACUUCCCCUCUCCCCAUGUUGGGAUUCCUCCCCAUCCCCCUCCAUGUUGCACCUCCUACCUCUCCCAGGCAAGCUGUGGCCUGCCUCAUCCUUCCUGGUGUCUCUCACCAGGAAACACAUUCUUUCUCCCACAUUCUGGGGCCUGUGAGCUACAGUUCUUAUCAAUGCCAAAGGAACCCAGGCUCUUGCAAGCUGGGCUGGCUGCACGAGCUUGCUCUGUCUCCUGCAGGCAGAAGAAACCUGCUUUCACAGUAUUGGAUGUCAGCACGCUGCUGGGUGGCUUCUGUGCGUUUUGCUCUACCUGUCUGCAGCCAGAGAUGGUGGCUGAUCCUUGGGGAUGUCCAAGUGGCCUGGGUUUUGUUCUCAAGUUGGCAUCACCUGCUCUCAGUCCAGUGUCAUCGAGAGAGCUGUUUAUCCUCCUACGUCCCAGAAUAGCCAGGAAAUUGUGGGGGUCCCUGUGCUCUGUCAUACCUGGGAGGCGGUAUCCCACAAGAAGGGACUGGGGGAUUGCAGGAGAGAGGACACCUGGUCCCACCCCUGGCCCUCACACCUCCCACCAGCUUCUCUUCCAGGAGCAGAUCUGGGGGCCCCCACCUCCAGGUGCCCAGAGGCCUGAGAAGUUGUCGAAACCGCAGAACCUGACGUGUAUAACUGCAGGAGACGCCAGCCGUCUCCUCCUGGUGCGGGCUAAAAAUACAGAGGAGCAAGGGGCCUUGGUAAUGGAGACUUUAAGAGCCUGUGACAUGCAGCAACGGCUGCGCGGCCGCUAAUGAGCUCCAAGCCGAUCGAUGCUGGCGCUUCAAGUGAGUGUGUGGGCUGGGAGCAGGGAUGGGGGUGUCACUCAGCAUUUGUCCAUCCUAGCUGAGAAAUCUGGAAUGUUGGUGUGGGCCAGGAGCUUGGAGACCAGCUCAAGUGACCCCUUGACAUUCAGAUGGAGAGACUGAGGCCAAGUGACAGGAAGUGGGAAGACACAUCAGAAAGAGGUUGAGGCCUCAAGGGACUCCAGCCUGACCUCUGCAGUAGGCUCCCUGCCCUGUUCCCAGCUCUGUGCUUCAGAGCCCAGCACAGAACCUGCAUGUGGAGACCCUGGCAAAUGGGUGAUAAUUGACCAAAUGAAUGAGAGUGAGUGAGUGAGUGAAUCAAUAAACAUCUUCUUCACUGCAGCAUGGCUCCCCAGUGAUGGGGACUGUAAUUUCAUCAUCCUAUUGCUCUAGGAGUACCUGGCACAGAGUAGGCACUCAAAAACUGCUUGCUGCAUGAAUGAGCACCUAAUCUGCUUCUUGAUCUACCCGUUUCCUGAGUGUGGAGACAAGGAAGCCUGUAAAAAUUGUGCCUGAGGUCUCUUUUCAGUGGUCCUACUACUCAAAAAUGGUAGAUUUCUACCUACCAGAGAGAAUAAAAAACAACACAGCAGACAUUUAUUAAGUACUCAGCAGGCACAGUAUUAAGAACUGUUCACAAAAUAUCUCAUUUAGUCCUCACAUCAAUCUAUGAGUUAAGUUCAAUUUUUAUACCCAUUUUAAACAGGAUAAACAGGAGAGAGCCAAGGGAGCUCUGAAAGGUGGUGUGGCUUGCCCUGAGUCAUGCAUUCCUCUAGGCAAAGGAGGAGCCAGGAUUCAAACCCAGGCCAGCCUGCUCUUCCCUCCUUAACCACUGCACUAUCCUGCCUCCCUUAAAGUACAGCAGGAGAAGACAGGAGAAGCAUGGCCAGAGAAAGCCAUGCAGAAUGGAGUCAAAAAAAUACCUCCAGGGCCUAUAAAGUGUUUGAUAAAUUCCAGGAGAAGAAUAGGAAGAAAUAAUGAGCAUUUGUCAGAGCCUUUUAUAGCAUAUAAGAUGAUUUUCCCUGCAUUCUCUCAUUUGAUCUUCACCACAGGCCUGGGAGGAAGGUAUUAUCAUUAUCUACAUUUUAUUGGUGAGGAAAGUAAGGCUCCCACACCUCUCAGCUAGGGUUGGGCAGGCUGCACACCUGAGGGGGUAGUGGUUCAGUGAUAAGGACUCACUUCUCAUCUCCUGGAGGCUGCCAUAACCUCUCCCCAAAUUGUCAUUGGCUCAAAGGGAAAUCUAGGCUGAGGCUCACAUGGCAUUUCUGUGUUCUCUAUAACCACAGGGGAAAGGCCAGCAGGGCGCAGAGGCCAGACCAAAUGCCACCUCCUCCAAGGAGCCUGCCUGGACCUGCCCGCCCUCGGGACUCUUACUCUCCUCUGAGCUGUCCAUCUCUUUCAUUUCUUUGACAGCCCCUCCCAAGGCAGAGCUUGUUAUCUCUGCAUCAUCUCAAAAAGAAUUAGUCAACAAGAGUGACCCUUGGCAGUGGGAAGGUGAACACGUGGUGCAAGAGUUUGCUCAGGCAACAGUGUUAUGAUGGCUUAAGAACAGAAACUAUGUGUGGAGUGAGACCAGAGCCCCUCACGCUCUCCAGGCCCCUCUGACUCUCAGCUACUCUGUUGGCUCCUUGACCUUCGGAGCAUGUGGCCAAGAUUGGGCACAAAGCGGGUGUGGCAAUGCUCUUCCUAAUGCUCCCCACAGGAAACACAAAUUUAAUACAGCAUGAGCAAGGGCUGCAAAGAGCUCCUGUCCUACAGCCAGUUCCAUUUCUCAAAAGGGAAUGGGAGUGUCAGGAAGUGAAUGCCCUGUGAUUAUCUGGAAUUUCCUCAGUUCAGCAUAGGGUCAGUGGUGUACAGCAUGCCUUACUAUCUUGGCUUUAUGUGCCAAUUCAGAUGGAUGAAAAAGCAUUGCUUCGGGUGGGGGGAGGGGGGAGGGAUAGCAUUAGGAGAUAUACCUAAUGUUAAAUGACGAGUUAGUGGGUGCAGCACACCAACAUGGCACAGGUAUACAUAUGUAACAAACCUGCACGUUGUACACGUGUAUCCUAAAACUUAAAGUAUAAUAGAAAAAAAGCAUCGCUUCUCACUAACUAUAUAAAAAUCAAAACCCAGAUUUUAUGUGAUUGAAUUUUUUCAACCCCAGUUACCAUAUAUGAUGGGGUAUUACAGUCUUUGUGAUUGAAAAGGUGAAGCUAGGGCGGGAAUGUGCUCCAGCAGGAUUCUUGCAGGCUUUCAGCCUAUGUGGAGCCCCUGCUAGCUGCCAGGCACUGUAUUAGACUUUGAGGAUAUAGUGCUGAACCAGGCAGACAGUCCCUGCUGUUGGGAAUUUCCAGCCUAGGGGACAGACAAGCAGACUUCACAAGAUGAAGGCUGGAAGCUCCUGACCCAAUCAGGGAAAAGAGAAGGCCUCUGGGGGAGAGGUGGCCCUUGGGCUGAAUUCUAAAGGAUAUACAGGGGCAGAUGGUGCAGCAGUUAUGAAUUCCAGGUCUGGAGUCAGGUAACCUGAGCUGGAACCUGGGCUCUGCCACUUCAAGCUCGUGAUCUUGGACAAGUUCCUUGACCUCUUUGUGCCUCAGUUUCCUCAUGUGUAAAAUAAGCAUAGUAAUAGCAACUUAGGCUGGGCGCCAUGGCUCAUGCCUAUAAUCCCAGCACUUUGGGAGGCCAAGGCAGGUGGAUCACCUGAGGUCAGGAGUUUGAGACCAGCUUGGCCAACAUGGUGAAAACUUGUCCUACUAAGAAUACAAAAAUUAGCCGGGCGUGGUGGCACAUGUCUGUAAUCCCAGCUACUUGGGAGGCUGAGGCAGGAGAAUCGCUUGAACCCGGGAGGCAGAGGUUGCGGUGAGCUGAGAUCGCACCAUUGCACUCCAGCCUGGGCAACAAGAGCAAAACUCCCUCUCAAAUAAUAAUAAUAAUAAUAAUAAUAACCCCGUAAGGUUGGGAGAUAAAUGAGUUAAUACAUAGAAAGCACUUGGAGGCCAGGUGCGGUGGCUCACACCUGUAAUCCCAGCACUUUGGGAGGCCAAGGCAGGCAGACCAUGAGGUCAGGAGGUUGAGACCAUCCUGGCUAACACGGUGAAACCCCAUCUCUACUAAAAAUACAAAAAAUUAGCCGGGUGUGGUGGCGGGCACCUGUAGUCCCAGCUACUCGGGAGGCUGAGGCAGGAGAGUGGCGUGCACCCGGGAGGCGGAGCUUGCAGUGAGCCGAGAUCGCGCCACUGCACUCCAGCCUGGGCGACAGAGCAAGACUCCGUCUCAAAAAAAAAAAAAAAAAAACAGUGGCUGGCCAAUACUAGGGAUCUACUGCAUGUCAACUAUCAGUAUUUUUACCUUGUAGGUUGUUGUGAGGACUAAAUAAGAUAAAAUUGGGUAAGUACUUAACCCAGAGUAAGUGCUCAAUAAAUGUAAGCUGCUUUUAUUUUUGUUAUUAAGUAGGCAUUUGCCAUUACUAGCCAGGUGGGUGGGAGGCGAAUCCAAGGCAGAGAGAAUAGCAUAUGCAAAGGCCUGGAGGCCAGACAGAGCCUGGCGCAUUUGGCAAAGUUUUGAAGUUCAAUUAGACUGGCACAGAGCCUGGGUUCCAGGAGUGAUGCAGGCUGGGGCUGCAGAGGUGGAGGCCAGGGCUGGAUCUGGAGGUAUUGGGAAUAGUGAGCCUCCCUCACUCCACAGGCAAGAGUGCUUCUGCUAUGAAGCCUUGCCUGCGGUGAUGGAGAGGCCAGCAGUAUGAGGAGGGUGCUCCACCCUCAUCCUCACCUUGCCCAGUGCCACUCUGCUUGGAGCUGCCGGCUGUCCAUUAGGCAGCCUCAGUGCAAGAGGCUCUCUUUCCUCAUGCGAUACAUGUCACAUCCGGGAACGAUCAAAACAGCUUUGCUUUGGCAAAACGUCUUGUGCUGCGUGUUUGUUCUUUGGAGUCUGAGCGUAACUCCUGUUGUUCCCGACACCUGUGAUUUGCUGGUCUGUGACAGCCAUUACCUGCUCAAAGUCUCUGCCUGCCACACAACCCACCUGGUGCCACCCCCAUUCCUUCCUCUGCCAUCCCCAGAGCAGUAAAUGCCUCUCCAGGCCACAGGGGUUGGGGCCAGCAGUGAAUCAGACAUAGUUGGCAAGGAUGGCCAAUUUUAGUAAUCACCUCUACCAUUUGGGAACGUCUACUGUGCACCAGGUGCUUCGAAUGCCUUGUUUUUAGUCCGCCCAACAACCCCACAGUUAGAGUUCAUUUUCUGUAUUUAACAGAGGCACAGAGAGGUUAGGAAGUGACCCAAGUCCACCAUUUGAUAAGUAUGAGGAAUAGGAUUUGAACUCAGAUCUCUGCACCAUUGGCUGCACACUUGCCACCAUGUCAGGCUGCCUCUCCAGCUCACUUGCUCACAGCUGCUGAUCCUGAAUGGAGGGGCCUGGGACAGCUGAAAUUUGACAUUGGCAUUGGGGUCAACUCAUGGGAGUCAGUCCAUCUGGCCCCAGGACCUUCCAUUCCUGAGGACAGACCCCCUUGGAGGUACUAGACCCCCAGUGUUGGUCUCCACAGCUUGGAUCCUGACCAGCCCCUCGCCUGUCUCUUGCAAACUCAAUCCUGUUAAGCUCUGACACCUCCAAGCUCCUUCCUGGGGUGAUCCUUUAGCCUUCAACACUUACCCACCAAAUCUCCACUUCGAGUUCAUGUGUAUCAAGCAUCCAGUUCACUGUUAUUAUCAUUAUAAUGGGGGAAGCACAGCCUCAUGUAAAGCUUGAGGGCCCUUCCCUGUUCCCUGUACCCCUUUUCUUCACUUUCUGGGAUCUCUGAGGGAACCAAAGGAGAUUCAGGCCCUCCAUUUUGUGAUAAGUUCCUGGAGGGCAGAGCCCUAUCUGACUUAUUAACCUGUUUCCCUAGUGCUUGAACUGCAGUAGGUGCUCAGAAAACAUAUGCUGAGUAAUAAUAUCCACCGGUGCUCUUGCUUAUGGAGCUACACUGAAAAUCUCUUUCACAUGAUACCAUUUAGCUAAGACAGUAACCAAUAUAAAGUAGGUAUUAUUUUCCCCACAGAUGAGGAAACUGAGGCUCUGAAACAUAGAGCAAUGUGCCAUAGACCACAGCUAGGAGGUAGUGGGGCCAGGAUUCAAAACCCAGGGUUGCCUGACUCUAAGCCUGUGCUUCUGAACACGCAUCCUAUACAGCCUCCUUAAUACAAUCCAUGGAUGAAUGGAGGAGUUCUACGUGCCCUGCCCAGUCGACUGCCCAGCCUGACCCCUUCCCACAACCUCCUAGGAUGCUAGAGUCCUCCACCCAUGCUGCCCCCUCUUCUGCCCACAGGCUCAGAGCAAAGCCUCUCCCAACAAGGCUUAUUAUUUCUAAUCUUAGGAGAAAAACCUCAGUUCAAAGGCAUUUUCUAUUCCAUUCAAGUCAAAAAACAGUUCUCACUUUGCCUCUCUGACCCCCUACCACCCCCACCUCCUCCUCCAACUGGCGCCAAUAACGCAAGAUAAAUCUUUCCUCAGAAAUAUAAUAGUUGUUCUUCCUCUUCUCGUUGAAGCCUUUGCCAGGUAAUUAGCAUAUGCUGACACCUUGAUAGACGAAAAGAAAGGCAUGAGAUAAUUCCCUUUUUCUUUAACCAUUAUAGUAUGAAGCAGCCUUUCAAUUUGCCAGUUACCCAAUCCAGCAUUCCUGGACGCAGCCCACCGUGUGACAUGUUAUUCUAGCUGAUCCUACCAUCUCUGGUAUUCAUCACCAACCCUGGGUCACACUUGAUAGAGCAAAUUCCCCUUCUUCACAUUGACACUUUUCUGGGAGGAGGGGCAGCCAGGGUUCAGAGGGUCUGGAAAUUGUGGGGAUGAUGUGGUCAUACUUGGGUGGGCACCCCCAGCUGACAGCCUAAGGCCUUGCAAAGGCCUGCAGAGCCCUAGGGGUCACUUUCAGAAGCCCUCUCUCCUUCCCCUGUUCCUUUCCCGCUCCCUAAAAGAAGCUGGCCUUUGAUCAGACUUUGGGAGUCCCUGUAUUUAGUGCAGCAGGAACCUCAGCUUGGAGUGAAUGGUUUUCUCUCUUCUCAUCAAAAAACACACACACACAACAUGCACAAUGACACAUACACACAAAACAUGCACGCACACUACACGUGCACGUGUGCGCGCACACACACACUCCCACUCUGGGCUCAUGGCCUGGGAUCUUAGGGUUGCGCCCAACCUCUUUGGAGGGACUGUCCCUCUAUGGCCAUUUAUAUGCUCACAGGGUUGAUUUUAUCCUUGACGUUUUGAGGGAUGAGGGAGAAGACGACACUUAAUUCCUUCAUUUCACAAUGUAGUAAGUGCCUACCAGGCACUAUUUUAGACAUUGAAGAUACAGAGAUGAACAAGACAGGCAAGGGGCCCGGCCUCAUGGAGCUUCCAAUCCAGCCCGAGGAAGCAUACAAGAAAUAAGCCAGUAAAAGAUAUCAUUUCAGAUGGUGAUAUGUGCUUAUUAGGGAGACAAAACCAAACAGGUGAGGUGAUGGGGAGGGAGUGGGAGGACUAUUUUAGACAGAGUGGCCAGAGGGCCUGAGAUUUGAACUGAUACGUGAACGAAGAUGAGCAAGCCAGCCAUGCAGGAGCUGGGGAAAACAUUCCCAGAAUGAACAGCAAGUGCAAGAGUUCACAAAUGCACCAGGUCCUGCACUGGGUCCAGUUUCUUUGGAGGGAUCUGUUCCACCCUACAUAGCUUUGACUUUCGCUGGUACUACUGAGGGUGAGACAAGCAGCUUGCUUGUCCAUUUGGUGAGGGUAGAAAAGUUGCUGCCUGGGUCUAUCUGUUAGCUAGGACUUUCCCAGGCUAGGGACUACGCAUCACGCAUCUGAGCAGAAACCAGAAACCAGAUCAACCCUGUUAUCUUGCCAAUGGCUGCCCAAGGAAACUUCCAGCCCUCCCAUCCCUCAACUCCUUUCCUGAAGGACAGGUCCACUCCAGGCAGGAGGUUCAGUGGCCUUAACUUCUCUUUCCUGGUUUGCCCAUCUGCUCCUCCUCUUGGCUGGGACAGGUUCCCGACACCCCCAUGCUUGGCCCGGGGGAUGGGAUGGGGAGUGGGGAAACAGUGUGCCAGCCAGCCUUCACCAGUGCAGGCACACCUCCUUUCCUCUCAGUUCUGCUAAGAUAAGGUAAGAUUUUUUAAAGGAAACGUAUCAACCAAACAGAGGGAAGAAAAAAGGGGAAAGAAGGGGGAAAUGCAGAUGCUGGGAAACGGGUCCACAGAGCUGAGGUUCCUGACUCUAAAGGAACUUACGCCUGGCCACAAGCUCACUUGACCUUCUGAGGACUUAAUCUUCCACCACCACCACCUCUGUGGCUCCAGAUGCAGGAUGACCUUGGGACCGCACCCAGGUUGAAAGGUGCGGACUGGUCGCUGUGUUUGCUAUUCUGUUGUGGGAGAAGGGUCACUGGGCACAGGCCCAGGGCCCGACCGAGCCUCAAGGAGCCUGUCCUUCCUCUGCUUCCCAGGGGCUCCUGUUGGGACUUCCACACGCCUCAGCCUCAAACUGGUCUCCCCACCUCACCCUGCCCCCACCCCAGUCUAUUCUCCACACACAGAAACUGGAGUGAUUGUUUUAAAAAAUUAUAUGUGAAUCAGAUUAUAUCAUUUAUGGUUAAAAACUUCCACUGAAUAAACACUAUCAUAGGCUGAAAAAGAAAGGCCUAGAUACAUGGGAUGGACAGUAUGAACAGCCGCCCAGGCCCCUGUUCAGAGAAGGGCUCGUUGCCCCUGGUACUGGCUUGCUGUUGGGAAAUAGCCUCCAGCUCUAAGCCCCUCCGGGAUUGCAUCAACUGCAAAGAACUGCCUCAUCCAAGGUCAUGCCACUUGCGUGGGUCUCUACACCCAAGCACUGACUGAUGGGGGAGAUGAAGGAUGAGCCAUCAGCCCAACUCACGACAGCUCUAGAAGAGGCGUGUCCAGCACUGGAGUUCCUCAUCCAGCCGGCCAAGGCCACUGCCGGGCCUGUGCUCAUCUUCUCCCUCUGCCCAUUCCUGCCUCCUGCCCCUCUUCCAUGAGCAUUGGUCUCCAGGGAACUCCUACAUAAAAUCAUGCACACAAAAACAAAAGGGAAAAAUUCUGCUGGCCUCCCAUAGUGUUUUAGAUUUUUAAAAAUAUAAAGCUAUGUAUUUUUUACAAGGACCAGCAAUGCCUUACAUGACUUGAGCCUGGCCUGCCCUUCUCACCUCAUGUCACUGAGGCCUUCCUUGGCUACCUUGUCUAAAAUUUCAACUUCACAUAAUUCCUUUUUUAUCCUUCUUAGCACUUAUCACUAUCUAUCAUACUACAUAUAUAUAUUUAAACUUAUUUAUCUUGUUUAUUUUCUGUCUUCCCAUUAGAUCAUAAGCUCAAUGAGGGCAAGGGUUUUGUCUGUUUGGUUUCUCUUGUAACCCCACAGCUUAGCAUAGUGUCUGGCACAUAGUAGGUGCUCAAUAGUUGCUGAGUGAAUCAAUAAAUGAAUCUUCUACCUAUCACUAUCUCACACAGUACCUGGAAUAUAGAAGAAAUGAAAUAAAUAUUUGUAAAAAAAUAAAUAGCCAUGUCUGCAAGUUGGCCUCUAAGAUCCUUUUUCGCUCUGUGGGGCUCCUUUAGUUCCCUCCAGUUUCCCAAGUUCUUCCUGUUGACCCCUCCAGGGCUCUGGUGACAGAAUAGUACAAGUCUGUCCCUGCCACGUGUAAGCCAAGGAUCACAGACUCUCUGACCAUGGGCAGUGUCGUCAGUGGUUACAGUUUUAGAGACAAACUACCUGGGUUCAAAUCUCGGUUCUACCACAGAUGACCUUAACAUCUGUGAGCCUCUCAUCUGCAAAACAAGGAUGACAGUACCUACCUCAGGGCUUCUGCAAAGUAUUUAUUGAAUGCUUGUCUCCCUACUUGACCCUGAACUCUCAGAGGGCAGGAACCAAGUCUACAAGUUCACAUGACUCCUUGGCACUUAGUAGGUGCCUGAUGAACAUUAGAGAGUGUAUUUCCAUAUUUCCCAUUCUACUCAGCACCAAGUAUGGGCAUGAGCAAAACUGGCUGGAUGACACAGCAGAGGCAGAUCCCCACUGGCCAUGCUCUGAUGGUUUCUGCCCAUUCUCCUGGAUUGAAUUACCAGUUGAGAAUUACCACUGUUUUCUCAUUUGGUAGGUGGAGAUAGGAAAAGGAAGUCUGUGGUGGUGACCAUCAUUCAUCCUGUGCCCAGGGUUCUCUGCCUACCCCCAGAUCCCCAAGCUACCCCACGGCUUCUCUGCUUGUGAACCUCUGACCAAACCCCAACCUUUGCUCUGGUUCCCCCUCUGUCACUCCAGAAUCCAGCUGAGUACCCCCUCCCACCUCCACAUGGCCUCUGACAGCUUAGGUCACAUUGUUCUUUCCCCUUCCUGACCACCCACUGCAUAUAUCGACUAAAUCGUGCUUCCUGGCAUUUGCUUCCACCCAGGCUGGCAUUUGAUUAGAUUCUGCUGCAGGUUCUCAUUUUACCUCUCUGUCAGAUCUCCCCGAGUUGACUUUAAUAGUAAUAAUAGUAAUAAUUUUGCUUUACAUCUGGGAACCCACCGGGCACUCAUACAAAGGGAUCCCAUUUCUUUUACCUCUCUCUGUCUCUAUAACCAUCCCAGAAAGUAGGCAGGGCAGAGGUCAUCUUCUACAUUCCACAGAUAAGGCAACCAAGGCUCAGAGAUGCUCACAUCAAUAACUCCUCACCUCAGCCUGUUCCCCUUUCACCAUCUCAAUAAUUGGCACCACUGUCCACCAAGAUGUCUAAGCCAAAAACUUGGGCAUCUCUAUCAUUCUUCACCUCCUCCUUUCUUUUACAGCCCCUACCCUGCAGAUGAAACCGAAAUUUCUCUCCAGACCACUCACUCCUCUCCAGUUCUACCACCUUGGCCCAUAUGUGAUGACAUCAUCCCUGCUCUGGAAGAUUGCAAAGGUCUCCCUCCCAGCCUCUGCUAUUGCCCCACCCUACCCCAUUCAUUCUGUACAUUGCAUCACAGUGGUCUUUUUCUGAUGCAUACACAUUCAUUCACUGAACUAAUAGUUUUUGAGAGCCUAUUCUGUGCCAGGCACUGUUCAAGAUGCUGGGGGUACAGCAAUGAAUAAAACUAUUGCCCUCGUGGGGCUUAUAUUCCAGUGGGGAGGUGAGGGGUCAAUAAUAAGUAGUCAAGUAAAUGUAUAGUAUUAGACAGUGAUCAUUGCUAUGGAAAGAAAGAAAGCAGAGGAGGGAGUCAGGGAGUAUAUCCUGUGGCAGGAUAUAGGCUUGCUAUUAUAUAAGGUAGGGAGAAAAGCCCUCAUUGAGCAGACAUCUGAAAGAAGUGAGGGAGUGAGGCUUGCUGAUACCUGGAGUUAUUCCAGGCAGAUGGAACAGCAAGUGUAAAAUCCUGAGGUGGGAUGGCACUUGGCAAGUUCAUGUUUGAGAAAGUGCACAGAGACCAGUAAGGCUGGAGGAGUAUGAGAAGAGGGAGAGAUCUGGCAGAAGGCCACACCUUGCAGGGUCUAUAGGCCAUUAUAAAGACUUUGGCUUUGACCCUGAGUGAGAUGCUGCACCAGUGGAGGGGUUGAGCAGAGGCAUGACACAAUAAUUUUAAUUGGCUUACAUUUUAACAGGACCUCUCCACCCACUGUGUGAAGAACAAACAGUAAGGGCACAAGGGUAGAAGUGGGAAGACUAGUUAGGAAGCCAUUGCAGUAACACAGGGAAGAGAUGAUAAUAGCUCGGACCAGGGUAGAGUCUAUGGAAGUGGUAAGAAGUGGUUUGAUGCUGAAUGAGUUAUGAAGGUAGAGCUGACAAUGUUUUCUGAUGAACUGCAUGUGGGGUGUGAAAGAAAGGCGUCAGGAAGGAUGCCAGGGAUGACUGCAAAUAUGAUUUUGUCACUCCAUCAAUUCCCCAUUGUUCUUAGAUGAGGAAACUGAGGCUGUCUGAGGUUCAGCGAAUCCCCCAGGGUCACAAUGUGGUACUGGGAUGCUGAACAAAUAAUUGCUGAAUUGAACUGAUAGCACUGGCAUUACCCUGUGCCUGCUUUCUCCGUGUCCACCGAUCUCAGCACAAAGCCUGGCGCAGAGUGGGUGUGCACUCACCAAGCGAGCAAAACCCAGUCCAGCCUGCGGCGGGAAAAGAGGCCUCCUCGCUCCUCUCCCCGCUCCCCCAGAGCUCCCUCUCCCCAUUCAUCUCCCCUUCACACCCUUAAUAAAAGCCCUGAGAUUGACCGAU